UGAGUACGAGAUGCUACGGCAUCGAAGCAGUCUAUGUCAUACUUCCAAGAAAAGCUUGCAAUGUCAUAAACAAAUAAUGCCUGUACCAUAACCGACACAGGUGGGUAGGCAGAGUAUACUAAGGGGCGCGAGAUAACUCUCUCUAAGGAACUCGGCAAAAUGACUCCGUAACUUCGGGAGAAGGAGUGCCUUAUUUUUAUAAGGUUGCAAUAACAAGAUCCAAGCAACUGUUUACCAAAAACACAGGUCUCCGCUAAGUCGUAAGACGAUGUAUGGGGGCUGACGCCUGCCCAGUGCCAGAAGGUUAAAGAAGUUGGUUAGCAUUAGCGAAGCUGAUAACUGAAGCCCUGGUGAACGGCGGCCGUAACAAUAACGGUCCUAAGGUAGCGAAAUUCCUUGUCGGGUAAGUUCCGACCCGCACGAAAGGCGUAAUGAUUUGGAUACUGUCUCGGAGAGGGGCUCGGUGAAAUAGACUUGUCUGUGAAGAUGCGGACUACCUGCACCUGGACAAAAGACCCUAUGAAGCUUUACUGUAACUUGAGAUUGAAAUUGGACUUUAUCUGCGCAGUAUAGGUGGGAGACGUUGAAAAUAUUCUUGCGGGAAUAUUGGAGUCAUCAGUGAGAUACCACUCUUAUAAUGUUAGAUUUCUAACUUUGUAUCAUUAUCUGGUCAAAGAACAGUUUCAGGCGGGCAGUUUGACUGGGGCGGUCGCCUCCCAAACGGUAACGGAGGCGCACAAAGGUUUCCUCUGAACGUGUAGAAAUCGUAUCUAGAGUGUAAAGGCAUAAGGAAGCUUGACUGUGAGACCUACAAGUCGAGCAGGGACGAAAGUCGGUCUUAGUGAUCUGACGGUGCUGAGUGGAAAGGCCGUCACUCAACGGAUAAAAGUUACUCUAAGGAUAACAGGCUGAUCUCCCCCAAGAGUUCACAUCGACGGGGAGGUUUGGCACCUCGAUGUCGGCUCAUCGCAUCCUGGGGCGGUAGUACGUCCCAAGGGUUGGGCAGUUCGCCCAUGAAAGCGGUACGCGAGCUGGGUUCAGAACGUCGUGAGACAGUUCGGUCCAUAUCCGGUGUAGGCGUUAGAAUAUUGAGAGGAGCCUUCUUUAGUACGAGAGGACCGAGAAGGACAUACCUCUGGUGUACCAGUUAUCGUGCCAACGGUAAACGCUGGGUAGCCAUGUAUGGAGAGGAUAACCGCUGAAAGCAUCUAAGUGGGAAGCCCACCUCAAGAUAAGUAUUCU
rnacentral:rRNA from 1 species